rnacentral:rRNA from 1 species
GGCAGACGGGUGAGUAACACGUGGGAACGGUGCCCUUCGGUUCGGAAUAACCCGGGGAAACCCGGACUAAUACCGGAUAAGUCCGCAAGGAGAAAGAUUUAUCGCCGAAGGAUCGGCCCGCGUCCGAUUAGCUUGUUGGUGAGGUAACGGCUCACCAAGGCGACGAUCGGUAGCUGGUCUGAGAGGAUGAUCAGCCACACUGGGACUGAGACACGGCCCAGACUCCUACGGGAGGCAGCAGUGGGGAAUAUUGGACAAUGGGCGCAAGCCUGAUCCAGCAAUGCCGCGUGGGUGAAGAAGGUCUUCGGAUUGUAAAGCCCUUUCGGCGGGGACGAUGAUGACGGUACCCGCAGAAGAAGCCCCGGCUAACUUCGUGCCAGCAGCCGCGGUAAUA